rnacentral:rRNA from 1 species
UCAGCCGCCGCGGUAAUACCAGCAGCCCAAGUGGUGGUCGCGUUUAUUGGGCCUAAAGCGCUCGUAGCCUGGCCGGUAAGUUCCCCGUGAAAUCGGGUCGCCCAACGAUUCGGCUUGCGGGGAAUACUGUCGGUCUUGGGGCCGGGAGACGCCGAGGGUACUCCGGGGGUAGCGGUGAAAUGCUGUAAUCCUCGGGGGACUACCAGUGGCGAAGGCGCUCGGCGAUAACGGGCCUGACGGUGAGGGGCGAAAGCUGGGGGCGCGAACGAGAUUAGACACCCCGGUAGUCCCAGCCGUAAAGGAUGCGGGCAAGGUGCUCGUCGCUCUUCGAGGGCGCCGGGUGCCGUAGAGAAGUCGUUAAGCCCGCCGCCUGGGAAGUACGGUCGCAAGGCUGAAACUUAAAGGAAUUGGCGGGGGAGCACA